rnacentral:rRNA from 1 species
GACGAACUCUGGCGGCGUGCUUAACACAUGCAAGUCGAACGAUGAAGCCGGAGCUUGCUCCGGUGGAUUAGUGGCGAACGGGUGAGUAACACGUGAGCAAUCUGCCCUUGACUCUGGGAUAACUGCGGGAAACUGUAGCGAAUACCGGAUACGACCCUCGGCGGCAUCGCCAGGGGGUGGAAAGAAUUUCGGUCAAGGAUGGACUCGCGGCCUAUCAGCUAGUUGGUGAGGUAACGGCUCACCAAGGCGACGACGGGUAGCCGGCCUGAGAGGGUGACCGGCCACACAGGGACUGAGACACGGCACAGACUCCACCGGGAGGCAGCAGUGGGGAAUAUUGCACAAUGGGCGCAAGCCUGAUGCAGCAACGCCGCGUGAGGGAUGACGGCCUUCGGGUUGUAACCCUCUUUUAGUAGGGAAGAAGCGCAAGUGCCGGUACCUGCCGACAAAGCACCGCCUCACUACGUGCCAGCAGCCGCCGUCC